UACGUAGGUGGCAAGCGUUGUCCGGAUUUACUGGGCGUAAAGAGCGCGCAGGCGGUCGUUCAAGUCGCGUGUGAAAGCCCCCGGCUCAACUGGGGAGGGUCACGCGAUACUGAUCGACUGGAAGGCAGGAGAGGGUAGUGGAAUUCCCGGUGUAGUGGUGAAAUGCGUAGAUAUUGGGAAGAACACCAGCGGCGAAAGCGCGCUACUGGGCCAUUACUGACACUCAUGGACGAAAGCUAGGGGAGCGAAAGGG
rnacentral:rRNA from 1 species